CACGUAGGGCGCAAGCGUUGUCCGGAAUUAUUGGGCGUAAAGAGCGCGUAGGUGGUUUGUUACGUCUGCUGUGAAAACCUAGGGCUUAACCCUGGGCUUGCAGUGGAUACGGGCAGACUAGAGGUAGGGAGGGGAGAAUGGAAUUCCUGGUGUAGCGGUGAAAUGCGCAGAUAUCAGGAGGAACACCGGUGGCGAAGGCGGUUCUCUGGGCCUUAACUGACACUGAGGAGCGAAAGCGUGGGGAGCGAACAGG
rnacentral:rRNA from 1 species